rnacentral:rRNA from 1 species
AUUGAACGCUGGCGGCAUGCUUUACACAUGCAAGUCGAACGGUAACAGGCCGCAAGGUGCUGACGAGUGGCGAACGGGUGAGUAAUGCAUCGGAACGUGCCCAGUCGUGGGGGAUAACGCAGCGAAAGCUGCGCUAAUACCGCAUACGAUCUCUGGAUGAAAGCGGGGGACCGUAAGGCCUCGCGCGAUUGGAGCGGCCGAUGUCAGAUUAGGUAGUUGGUGGGGUAAAGGCUCACCAAGCCGACGAUCUGUAGCUGGUCUGAGAGGACGACCAGCCACACUGGGACUGAGACACGGCCCAGACUCCUACGGGAGGCAGCAGUGGGGAAUUUUGGACAAUGGGCGCAAGCCUGAUCCAGCAAUGCCGCGUGCAGGAAGAAGGCCUUCGGGUUGUAAACUGCUUUUGUACGGAACGAAACGGUCCUGGUUAAUACCCGGGGCUAAUGACGGUACCGUAAGAAUAAGCACCGGCUAACUACGUGCCAGCCGCCGCGGUAACAC